AAACUAGGUGAACCUGAAGAGAAGGCGGAAGUAGGGCGGAAGAAGUAUAGCUACUGCUGCGUUGCUGCAAUCGCUAUUUCCUCUAUGUUUAGCUAAUAUUUACAUAUCUCUUUAAAUUUUGUUGUGCCCUAAUAUACAUUAAUCUCAUUUGAUUCUCACAACAAGCCUCUGAGAGAGAUACUUUUAGUCUCAUCCCCAUUUUAGAGAUGAGGAAACUGAAACUCGACAGGGUUAAGUGAUAUGUGGGGCCACACAGCAGGUGUGAACCUAGCGUUCGAAUCCAGCAUUCCUAACUCCAAAAGUGCCGCUUAGGUCACCGAGACGACAUCCUCAUUUACAUCCAUUUUUUUGGUCUGGUUCAUUCAUUCAAAAAACAUUAAGUGCCUACUAUGUGCAAGGCACUAUGUGGUGUAUAGCUACACCUCCAGGACUUUCAGGACUGGUGACUCCCAUUACCAGAGGAUUAAGCAUCUGGAGAGUGAGAAGAGGUGAUGAAACCAAGUUCCAGCGAAGUUAAGUGAAUUGUUCAUGGUCAUACAGAUAGAAAAUGGCAGAACCAAGAUCUGCAUGCAUCCUUUGAUUCCAAAACUAGGAAAGGACCAUUGUGUUUGAGCCCUUGUUUCUCCUGACUGAUUUGUGAAUGAUUAUCAAAGAUAGAGUGGACCAGAAAAAGAUCAGAAGAGCCAUCUGAGAUCUAGCAUCUGGAGUGCCCUGCAGGACUCAGCUUAGCAGUGAAUUGACCCUGCAACUGUUCUCCUGGUUCUGCUUACUUUACUUUGAAUCAGUUUAUAUGUCUUUCUAGUCUUUCCUUAACUCAUUUUGUUCAUUAUUCCUUAUGGUACAGUAGUAUUCCAUUAUAACCAUAUAUCACAACUUGUUCAUCUAUUCCCCAAGUAAUGUAUCCAGUUCUUUGCCACCUCAAAAAGAACUGCUAAAAAUAUUUUGGUAUAGUUAGGUGCUUUUCCCUUAUCUACCAUUGCUGGGUCAAAGGGUAUGCAUAGCUUUGUGGUCCUUUGAACACGUUUUUUUUUUAUUGCUUUCCAGAAUGAUUGUAUCAGUUCACAGUUCUACCAACAGCCUACACAUAAAAUUUUGCCACAUCCACCAUUUUCUUGUUUUAUCCCUUUCUUGAUAGUAUUUGCCCAGGUGAACCCUAAUUCCAUUAUUUCACUGAUUCAGUUUCCCCUUUGUGAAUUCUUGGAGUCUUUCUGGCUCUCAUAGGUGAAAUGCAUUGAAGAUAUCCACUAUGGUGGACCUCUGGUUAGACCUUGACUAUUCAUUAACAUCUACCUUGGAUCAGUUGUAGUUGAAACAUUCUUCUUUCCCAAUACUCUUUUCCUCCACUCUCAAGCUGUUCUCUCUAGCCUUCAUUAUGCCUCUCCAUUGGAUGGAACAGGGAUUCCACAAAUCCGCUUUGAUAAAACUUUAGAGAAUAUUUCUAAUCAACUCAAAAGAAUAUCAUUAAAUAUUCAGAAUUUUUAAAAAAGUAACAAUAAACCCAUAGUACUUUGACUUUUGCAAAUUGCUUUGCGUGUGUAAUAGGGGACCUGGCCAAGGAGGGUCCAGUACUUAGGGUGUGCACAUUAUGUUUUACCUAGAACUAACCCACGUGGAGGUGUGAUAGGUUUUCUUUAAGGCAUUAUUAGAGGGGCCUUUCCCUCAAUUGGGAGCAUGCUUACUAUGUGUUGCUUGAGCAUUUAUUUAGUGCCUACUAUGUGCCAAGCACUCUGAUUAAGUGAUAGGGAAACAAGGAAAAGCAAAACAUAGUUCUAGCUCUCCAGAAACUCACAGUCUUAUGGGGGAGAUACCAUAGAAAUAACUAUGCACAGACAAGCUAUAUACUAUAUACAGGAUAAAUUGGAGAUAAAACAGAGAAGAGGCACUACUAUCAAGGGGAUGAGGGAAGGCUUCUUUUAUUUAUUAUUUUAAAAAUGUAUAUCUUUUUAAUUUUUAUAUUUUUCCAUGGUUACAUGAUUCAUGUUAUCUUCCUCCUCUUUUCCCUACCCCUUCCUGGAGAUGACAAGCAAUUCCACUGGGUUAUGCAUAUAUUAUCACUCAAAACCCAUUUCCAUAUUAUUUAUUUUUGUCAUAGAGUAAUAUGUUAAAACCAAAAUCCCAAAUCAUAUGCCCAUAUAAAGAAGUGAUAAAUCAUAUGUUUUCUUCUGCUUUUCUUCUCCAACUGUUCUUUCUCUAGCUAUGGACAGCAUUCUUUCUCAUAAGUCCCUCAGGAUUAUCUUGAAUCAUUGCAUUGCUUUUAGUACCAAAGUCAAUUACAUUUGAUUAUCCCACAACUACUAUGUAUAGUAAUGGUCUCCUGGUUUUGCUUAUUUCACUCUUCAUCAGUUCACAUAGGUUUUUCCAGUUCUUAUAGAAAUCAUACUGUUCAUCAUUCCUUAUAGCACAAUAGUAUUCCAUCACCAUCAUAUACCACAAUUUGUUCAGCCGUUCCCCAAUUGAGGGAAGUCAUUUUCCAAUAUUUUGCCACCACAAAAAGCUCAGCUAUAAAUAUUUUUGUACAAUCAGGUCCAUCCCCAUUGAAGGCUUCUUUUAGAAAGUGGAAUUUUAUCUGGGACUUGAAGAAAGCUAGGAAAGCCUGGAGUCAGAGAUGAGAAGAAGGGAUUCUAGGCAUGGGAGAUAGCCAAAGAAAAUGCUUGGAGUUGGGAUAUGAAAUCUUUUUUGAGGAACAUUUAGGAGAUAGUGUCAUUGGGCCUCAUAGUACACAAAUGGAAUAAAGUGUAAGAUCAGAAAGGUAGGAGGGGCCAAGGUUGUAAAGGAUUUUAUGGUUCAUUCAGGAGGUCAUAGAGACCCACCGAAGUCUAUUUAAGAGGGGGUGUGAGAUGGUCAGAUCUGCUUUUUUGGAAGAUUAAUUGCUUUAGGAAUUAAUUAGGAAAAUUAAUUUGGCAACUGAGUGGAGGAAAGGCUUGAGGCAGGGAGGGCAACCAAAAGGCUAUUAUAAUAAAAUAAUGAGAGCCUGAAUCAGGUUGGUGGCAGUGCCAGAGAAGAGAAGGUGGUGUAUAUGAAAGACGUUAUGAAGGUGAAAUUGAAAGGACUACUUGACAACAAAUUAAACGUGCAAGAGUGAGAGAGAGGAAUUAAGAAUGAUAUCUGUUUUAAGUCGAUGGGACUGGGAAGAUGGUGGUAUCCCAAAUAAUAAUAGGGAAGUUUGGAAAGGAAAAGGUUUGGGGGUAAAAGAUAAUGAGCUCAGUUUUAGGCAUGUUAAGUUUAAGAUGUCCACAAGUCAUCCAGUUUGAGAUGUCCAGUAGGCAGUUGUUGAUAUGAGUCUAGAAGUUAGGAGGGAGAUUCAAGCUGGAAAAGUAGAUCUGAGAAUCAGAUAACUGUCUUUUCUUAUCUACCAGGGAGAUAGCAACCAGGACAGCUGAUUUUCUGGGAGCUGUAAAAUUAAAAAUUUAAUCUCUAAUAAUAAUAUUAUUAUAUUUUAUGAUGUUUAUUAAAUGAUCAUUAGAAAUCAAGGAAUAAAGAAGAUACAAAAUAAAGACCACAUGCCCAUGACUGAUCAGCCAGUUUAAACACUCGCCUUACCACCACCAAGCUCAGGACCAGAAGUAAAGAGGUGGGACUUUCCACGUCCCCACCUAAUAUCCCCUAUCUAUAGGAAGUAUGUAAUAACAGGAAGUCAGUGGGCUCCUGGGAAUGUAGUUCUUUUUUUAGGGUAACAGAUUUUCAAUUAUACAUUCUCCCCUGAGAUCCGUGGAAGACUAGUCUCUCCAAUGGGUCUUAUAAACAUAACCAACUUUGAAAUUACAAUAAUUUGGGGAUAAAAGGAAAAGAGAAUGAUUGCUAGGCAGGAAGUGAUAUGAAAUAUAAAGAUAGUUCUUUACAUUACUUCCCAUGUCUCACAUGUACCAAUGCUGGCUUAAACUUGGCUUAGGACAGCCCAGGGGGGGUCAGUCAGUUGUUUCUGAUUUGUCACUUCCUAGCACAUGUCUGUCAUAGGCCAUCCUCUAAAAUACUUAAUCAUUAAGUGUGGGUGUAGACAUUCCUGGUUGCUAAAAUUCUAAAGUCUAAGCAGGGUGGAGAAAAUCUAAAAUUCACAGGGACUCCAAAGUGGGAGAAGGACCAACCUCUUGUUCUUUCUCUUAAGUUCUUGUAGCAUGGCUAUGAGUGCAUUAGACGAAUGUUUUCCUGUUUCUAUAUAUUUAUUUCCCACUUCUCUCAGGUGAAUGAUUACCAAAGAUGGAAUGGACCCAAAAAAGACCAGAAGAGCCACCUGAGAUCCAGCAGCUGGAGUGACCCGCUAGAACUAGUUUAGCAGUGCAUUGACUCUGCAACUGAAACACCAUGUCCUAUAAGCAAAAAAGCAACUAGUUCAUCAGAAAUCCAUGGAGGAAAACCAAAGGCACCCAGCAGAAAGAAAGUCAGCCCAGAAAGAAGACAAUGCAGAUGUCUGUCUGGCACCAUCCAUGGCACAGCACAGAGGCCAGACAACUGAAAAAACAGUAAAUGAACUAGAAAAGGCAAAAUCACUGCCUUAGAGUCAGGUCUAUUGCAACAUCCGCACAAAUUAACUUUUUCUGAGAGACAGUUGACCUACAGAAGAAUAUCAUUAAUUUGCUUAUGGAUAUUUCAUUCUAGAAGUUUAUGGGUAUUUGUUGUAAAAUCAAAGUUUAUCAUGUACCUGAAAUUUUCAAAUGAUAUUUGUACAAUAUGUAACUUGCAAUUAUUUUAUUGUAAUUGUUCCAUUUUACCCAAAUUUGAUCAAAUAACAAAUUGUACAUUUAGGAAUGUUAUAAAAGUACAUUGGAUACUGUUCAAUUGCAGCAGAAAUUGUUUCUAUUAUCUAAAAUGUAUGUAUGAUAAUUGUCUUAUAUGGUUCAUUUUAUAUUUUCAAGAAGAAAGUAUGUCUUUAUUAGAAUCAGACCUAUCUAAAAGUCAAUUUUGUUGGAAAUGGCAUUUAAGCUUUUAAAAGAAAAAAAGGGUGGUAAUGGUACUGCUAACCAUCAAUCUCUUCUACAUCCAAGAAGGGAUAUAGGCUAAUUCUAUGCAUAACACUUUGAAUGUAAUGAUAAAGAUUACAUUGCAUGAUAUAACUGGAUUGGGUUAAAUAUUACCAGGAAUUUAAGACUAUGAGGGACCCAACAGGAUGAUUAUAUUGGGUCGAGGGUUUGUUUGUAUUUCUACAGAUAGUGAAAACAUCUGGUCACACACAAAACACAUCAUGCCAUGGGACAUGAGACCAGGAAGAGAAGCAGACGAACAACACUGAGGACAUCAGUUAGCUGCACACCAGUCACACUCCAGACAUGCUGGACGAAAUCAUCACUGGUGACUACACACACACACACACCAAAGACUGACAUUACACUUCUCAUAAUUAUAUUCACUAUCAUUACCCUGAUGGACACUUGUCAUGCUGACGUCUAUUGGUAUACCUAAACCAAUAUCAAGAAUGUUAACGUGUUAACUAUGUUAACUAAACCCCACUUGUGUAUGUUAAUGACACCAGAUAAAUCCCAUACUCCAAAGACUUUACCAUGGGAUCAAAAGGAAAUAGCUACAAUUGUUCAGACACUACUGUACACCCUUCAUUUUGUAUGUCUAUGCUAUAUACUGUCAAAAGGAAGUUAUUUUGUAUGCACUAUAAAAUUCCAACUUGUAUUGUAAGAAAUGCUACUAUGAACAAUUGUAUAGGCAUUGGUAUAGCUCUCAGGGGAGAAGGAGAUAGAAUUUUUCAUCCACAGCAUAGACAUAGUAACCCUGACAUCAAAAAAUUGUGUUUAAAGCAGGAAGAGACACUGCACAGGGAUUUAUAAUGGACAGAUUGUCCUGAUCCAACUCUUAAAAAGGGAUGAGAUGUCAGACAGAAUGUACUUUGAAAUUUUUAAUUAAGAACCUAAAUUAUUGAAAAUGGUCAUCUACAUCUAUGUAUAGAUUAUGUUCCUGACAAUUCCUAUGUAGAUAUUAUGUGCCAACCACCAUUGGUGUGGUUACAUGUUAAAGAUUUGAAAAAAUUGGCACUAGUAAGUUUGUAGAAAAAGCACAUUGGAUAUUAUACAUUUACAACAAGGAAUUAAUGAGUUUCAUCAAAUUCGAUAUGAGCAAGAAGCUGUAGAAAUUGCUUCUACAUGAAAAGAAACUUAAGCUUCUAUUAACCCAAAAAUUGUUUUAGUAGAGUGAAUUUUUCAUACAUUGGCAAUGUUAUAUUCUUGCCAAAAACUGUGCUAAGCUGUAGGGAUGCAAAGGAAGGUCCCUUCCCUUAAGGUGCUCACAAUCUAACAAGGAUGACAAAAAUUAAACAAAUAUGUAGGGGCAGCUAGGUGGCUCAGGAGAUUGAGGGUUAGUCAGGUCUAGAGAAAUCUAGCCCUAGACACUUCCUACUUAUGUGACCCUGGGAAAGUCACUUAACCCUCACUGCCUAGUCCUUACUGUUCUUCUGCCUUGGUAUCAUUACAUAGUAUUGAUUCUAAGACAGAAGGUAAGAGUAAAAAAAAAAAAUACAAAACGAUCUAUACCACCUCACCCCCACCUCCCAAACGCAAACUCAAGAUAAACAGGAGAUAAUUAACAGGGCCAACAGAAUUAAAAGGAGUUGGGAAAAGCUUCCUGUAGAAAGUAGGGUUUUAGCUGGGAUUUGAAGGAAGCCAAACAGCUCAAGGGGCAGAGAUGAGGAAAGAAAUUGUUCCAAGCAUGGGGGACAGUCAGGGAAAGAGUCUGGAGUCAAGAGAUGGAACGUCUUGUUUGAGGUAUAGCAAGAAGGCUAGUGUCACUGAAUGGAAGAGUUACAUGGCAGAGAUGAGGAGUAAGAAGACUAGAAGCAGGGAAAGUUUUGUAUUUGAUCUUGGAGGUGACAAUAGAAUGGAGUUAUUAUAUAUAUAUAUAUAUAUAUAUAUAUAUAUAUAUAUAUGUUAUGGAGAUAUAUAUUAUAUUUAGGAGUUUAUUGAGUAGAGAUGAUAUGGUUGUAUUAAUAUUAAAAUUCUCUGCAGACUAUAUAUUAAUUUAUAAUUAUUUGUUAAAUAGUGAAAAGCGAAUCCAUCAUAUGGCCAGUUACCAGAGUUUACUCCUCAUCUCUGGGUUCUUGUUACCCAGGAAAAAGAGCUGAGCUUCUUUAAUCCAUCACUUAUAUCCCCCAACCACAUCACUUUCUGGGUUUCCCUUACUGGACAGACUUGACCUCAGUCCAGGUCAGAGGCUGGUCUUCUGGAUGCCACCCACGAGUCAUGUCUCCUAAGACCUUAGGGAGUUUGAAGGCUUGCCCCGCCACAGUAUGCAGGUGCCAAUUGUAACUCAGGACAAAAGAGUCUAUACUUUGAAAUGUUGAAGAGUCCCUUUCCUAGAUGCAGUCAGAAGAGCAGAUGACUCAAUGGAUGGACAUUCGGGGACAAUGGGCCCUUCCAGAGGUUUGCUUUUAUUCUCCUACCCAGGACUCCAAUCAACACAUUUCCUCCUUAAGCAUGCCUGAGUCUUAGUUUAGGAGUCUUCUUUUAUAUUUUUUCCAGACCUUGGCUGAACAAAUAUUUAUCCUGGGUUGGUCAUGUCCAGGCUUGGAGGUGACCCUGUAAAUUUGAGAACUUCAAAGGUUAAUAGUGCCAGGGAAUAAGUCCUCAGAUACUUUUUUUUUUAAUACUACAGUAAUACUUUAUUUUUAAAAAAAUAUUUUUCCAUGUUUACAUGAUUCAUUUUCUUCCCCUCUUCCUUCCCAGAUCCAAUAAGCACUUCCACUGGGUUAUGCAAAUGUUAUAAUUUCAAAUACUACUCUUGUGAUAAUACUCAGAUACUAUUUGAAUGCUCUCAAGGAAAAGAUGGCUGUGGAUAAGAGGAUAGGCUUAAGCCUGUACAUUUUACCAGAAGAUAUGUAUGUCCCAGGAGUUGUUUCAACAGUGCAGAGUUAAGGUGAAAUAAAUGACUAACUAGCAAUCCUAAAAACUGUUUUAUGUCUUCCCCCUCUCCCCCCAAACCUUUACCUUCUAUCUUGGAAUCAAUAGCACGUAUUGGUUCUAAGGCAGAAGAGUGGUAAGGGCUAGGCAUUGGGGGUUAAGUGACUUGUCCAGGGUCACACAGCUGGGAAGUGUCUGAGACCAGAUUUGAACCUAGGGCCUCCCAUCUCUAGGCCUGGCUCUCAAUCCACUGAGCCAUCCAGCUGCCCCCUUUUUUAUGUCUUAAAAAUUUUUAAGUAUUGAUUUCCCAGUAAAUUAUAACAAUAGUUUUAAAGCUGUUAUUGAAUUCUGUUUAAGUUCUGUAAAUGCAUCUUUGUGAUUCUUUUAUAAUUCAUUUUCUUGUGUAUAUGGGCAUAUAUCACCUGUUACAUACCUGAUUCAUAUAUAUUUUUUGAACCCUUAUCUUCCAUCUUGGAAUCAGUACUAUGUAUUGGUUCCAAAGAAGAAAAGUGGUAAGGGCUAGGCAGUGGGGGUUAAGUGACUUGCCCAGGGUCACAUAGCUGGGAAGUGUCUGAGUGAGGCCAGAUUUGAACCUAGGACCUCCUAUCUCUAGGCCUGACUCUCAAUCUACUAAGCUACCCAGCUGCCCCCUGAUUCAUAUGUUACAUUUAAUACUUUUGAUAGUUCCCAUUUUGAAGAAAAUCCUACAUGUAAGUCUUAAGCUAGAAGUAAAACUGUUCCUGAAUUAUCCACAUAAAGGUUUUAAUGAGUAUGAGAAAAAGCAGCCUCUUGUCAUCAUAGGUCAGUCUCAUCAGGAUGGCACCCAGUCCAAACCACAUGCCUUGGCACAGAACAGGGAGUGGCAUGGGAUCCCAGGCCCUCAUGGUUAGAAAUAGCAGAAAAUAAUUCAGGGAUUUUUAUUUCUCUAUGAAUCAGAAACAUAACUAGCUAAAUCAACAGAGGAAAUUCAUCUAUGACUAAAUCACAGAGAAGUUAUGUAUGGUUUACUGUGGACCAAACUAAAAGUGUAUGUAUUGUUUAUUGUUAACUAAAUCCAAAAAAGAAGUGGGUGGCUAUCAUGCUGGCCUUAGUUUGGAGGCAAAACAAAUCUUCCCCAGGGGGGUGUGUAUGACAAUAUUAAAGUUACUAUUAUUCUCUUUGAUAAGAAGUUAAACUAAAAUCUUAACUGAAAAGGACUUUUGUUUUAUCAAUGUUAUGAAAUUUCUUCAUCUCUUGUGCCCUGGUUACAAUAAAAUAUGAGUUGGAAAUUGCUUAGGUCAGAGAGUUGUCUGUUUAGCAAAGGAAAUUCUGGCCAGAAUUUCCUUCCAAACAAAAUGCUUAUAAAAUAAUAAAAUGUGUCUCUGACAGAUCUGGCUCAAACUCAGAGUGCAAAGUACUUUCCUUCCAUAGAAAGAAAUAAAGGAGUCCAAUAAGUUUUCUUGGGCAUCUCUUCCUUCUGUUAUUUCCUCUUUCAAAGAUCCUCAAACAACUCCUUAUUCCUAGUUCUUUGGUUGAUGAUCCUUCCCUACAUCCUCCAGAAAAUAUACCUUACAAGAGGCUGACUACUGAUUGUCAUCCUUUAGAAAGCUAUGCUGUAACCUCCUAGCCUUCUUUGCAGAGGUAGAGGAUUGUGGGUGUGAAAUACUGCAGAAUUGACACUUUAUUUGCUAGUUAUUAGUUAAUUAGUUUAUUUGGUUAGUUUCAUUAUGUGGAACAGCUUCCUCUCCUCCAACUCGCCCUCCUUAUUUUAUUAUUUCUUAUAAGGAAUGGCUCGUAGGGAGCCAUUUUAUUUAUAAAUGAAAGCAAUGUUAAAACAAAAGAUACCCAUAAAAAAGGUUUUUUUUGUUUUUUGUUUUUAAUGAAAGCUACAGGGGCAGCUAGGUAGUUUACUAGAUAAAGAACCAGACCUAGGGAUGGGAAGUCCUGGGUUCAGAUCUGUCCUCGGAUUCUUACCUCAGUGACUCUGGGCAAGUCACUUAAAUCCAAUUAUUACCUAGCCCUUACUUCCCUUCUGCCUUAGAACCAGUUUUUAGUAUCAACUCUAAGACAGAAGGUAAGGGUUUAAAAAAAAAAAACUAAUCCUGUUUUUAAAAUGAUCUCCAUGGAGUAUUGGACUUGGUAUUAGGGAAACUUGGGUUCAAAUCCUUCCUCAGAGAUUUACUAGCUUGCAACCUUGGGCAAAUCAGAUAAUUUCUCUUGUAUAUAUGUAAGCCCAAGUUUCCUUGUAUGUGUAGCAAUCCAUCCUUGGGCUCACUCUUCUAACCCAACUCAAACUAAUAGUUUGGGUCCCCUGAGCUGGCUGGCUUUGCCUCCACUCAGGGUUCUAGAGGUAUCCCUGGGAGGCUAGAAGAUUCUUCUAGAUGUUCAUGAACUAGAGAGUUAAUUGAUAUUAAUUAAGAGACCAACUGGUCAAAUUGAUACUGGCAGUUUAUUAACUAACUGGUCAAAUAAUCUGGUGGGAGUACAUUAGAUGAAGGUUCAAACAAGGAUUACAGAAGCCUCAAACCAGGAGCCUACUCUCAUCCACUACCUAAGUCCUUGGAGAGGGUAGGUUCAAAAUUGUAAAUCUUGAAAUCUCUCAGACUUGUGAAUGUUAAAAAUUUCCCCUUCAGGGAAUUCUUAAUUGGAACAAAUUCCCUACUGAGAAACAUUCCCCAUUUUGAUGUGAGAACUCGCCAGGAUCAGAAAUGGGAGGACCUCUACUCCAACCUUACUUAAGACUGCUUUAGGGGAAAAAAACUCCUUGCUAAACAAUGAAAGUACUUGGACCCAUGCUUAUAAUAAGGAAGGAGUUCUUUGAGCCAGGCCUGUUUUUAGAAUUGAUACAAUGGGAUGCUAGGUACCUAAAAGGGUCGGGCAAGUUUUCUCUUGAUGAGAUUAGUUGACUCAGCUGUGUUUUCUCUCGUUCAGACUUACUGAGGAGAUUGGUCGACUUAGCAGGAAUUUAGAUGGGCAGUCCUUUGGAAAGGGUCUACAGUGAUUGGUAGAUGUAGGGAUGUAAAGCUUUUUCUCCCAUAUCAUCAGAAUACUGUAAUGUCUCUGUAGUUAAUGCCAUUCCUACAAUGUGCCACGUGUUCCAAUUAACUUGUAAGCAAUGCUUUAAUCUUAGCCUCUGAGAUCUUAAUGCCUCUCUUUUCAAUUAAAAAGGAGAAAGUUUAAUCCAUUCCUUAACAGAAUAGCACAAUACCUUACUGGCCAAGCACAGGUUUCGCUGUUAGGACUCCAGCCAUGUUCCACAUGAAUUCUUUUCAAGUGAAGUGAUCACAAUUUAGCACCUUAGGUCCCAUCUGGGGUGCCAAAUAUAACAAUCCAUCCAGCAGUUGCUAUAUAAUUUUUCUUUGUGGGAUAUAACUUGAGAAGGAGGAAGGAGCCUGAGGAAUAUGGGAGAUAAAUGAAGACUCAAAGACAAGUUAAUUGAUAUGGGGAACGGUGCUUGCUCCUAUAAUGUUUUUCUUUGAAAAUUAAUUAAAGGAAAACAUGAGAAAUAAGAGAACACAUGGAAGUAAGAAUUCUGAGAUAGAAAGCACGUGGGCGAAAAUGUAGCUGGGAAAGAUAAGGAAAGAUAGGGAGAGGAAUGGGGUUGCAGGAAUCAAGAGGAUGAAGAGAAGGAGUAGCACCACUCCUUCGCCUUUAUUCAGGUGUGGAUUGGGAGGUGUUCAAUGAAUACAUAACAUAGCAUAGGUGAUUGACAUUGGUUGAAUUGAUAAUGAGGACAACAAAAAGGCAUGGGUAACUCCAACCCUCGCUUUGCAAAUGAGUUUGCUCCAUGCGCUAUGUUAAUGACCUUUACUUGAGGCAGAGGAGGCGUGGCCAAGUCAAGGUCUGACUAUGUGCCUAGUAAUACAAUACCAAUACAUUAAUCAUACUUUCAUGCCUGGUAUGUUACACUGGGCAAGUCACUUAACCCCCCAUUGCCGCCCUUAUACCUUGGAACCAAAACAGUGUAUUGAUUCUAAGGUGCAAAGGUAAGGGUUUAAAAGAAAGAGUAAGACUUAUUUUGUGCAUACCUGUAGUCUCCUCAGGAAAGGUGCUCAUAGAGGUAUCAAUCUGAAAAAAAAAAAACCACAGAACUACCAAAAUAGUUAUAAUAAGGGCCUUUAAUUGGGGAAGACACUCAGAAUAUCAGUCCUGGCACUUCCAUGGAAGUGCAAUUUGCUUAGCUAGAUUUCUGAGAAGAGGGAUGGGGGUUUAUGCCCUGUCACUCACUUGGGACCUGCACUAAUCAUAGUCUUAAAUGACUCAGGGGCUUAGAUGCAAUAGCCAAAGGCUAGGGUACCUGGAAGUAGCAAAGAUACAAAAGGAGAAACAAAGAAAACAUUAAAGGGUACUUAAAACGACCACACCCUCCUAUCCAUGGAGGUUCAUGGGUGCUUGAGGCCUGUUGAGACUGGGACCAGGGUCAGUUAGGGUGUUUUUUUGGAGGCAAGUUCCCAUGGGACCAAAGUAAAUUUGGGGUUUCAUGAAACAAGUUGUCAAAGAUGAGAUGACUCUUCUUGGCAAGGCCAACCCCUCCACUUAUUCCUUGGAUUCCUUUUAUUCUCCUUUCUUUUGGGAGCUUGUCCUGUUAAUGAUUCCCUUUCUCUAGUCUUCAAUCUUUUUCUAGCUAUUUAUUCCUUCCUUGAUAAUGUUGUUAAAGGGAGUUUCUUUAUCUUUCCCUCUGUUUCUUUAAGAAGCAUUAAAGAGCCUGGAACAGAAACAUGUCUAAGUAAAAGCAUGAGAGAGCUGAAGAUUCCAUCAUCACCUAGGAGACAAGGAAGAUAUAUAAGGUAUAUAAGACAAUUAAGACAAUUAAGAGAGAGACUUUUUUCUUCUGGAUUCCCAGAGAGCAAGAGAUCCAGAUCGACAGCACUGAGAAGACAAAAGCAGAAAGGAAACAAUCCUUGUUUUUGAGUGGGAAAAUAAUAGUCCCUCCACACAGGUGAAUCAAGCCCUGAGAAUGCUGCCCGGGAACGGAGUCGAGUGAGGACCCUGCGUCAAGCCUUUCUGGCUCUGCAGGCGGCAUUACCUGCCGUGCCCCCUGACACCAAGCUCUCCAAACUAGACGUACUGGUCCU